rnacentral:rRNA from 1 species
UGGGGAAUUUUGCACAAUGGGGGAAACCCUGAUGCAGCGACGCCGCGUGAUUUAGAAGGCCUUCGGGUUGUAAAAAUCUUUUCUAUGGGAAGAAAAUGACAGUACCAUAGGAAUAAGGACCGGCUAAUUACGUGCCAGCAGCCGCGGUAAUACGUAAGGUCCGAGCGUUGUCCGGAAUCAUUGGGCGUAAAGGGUACGUAGGCGGGUAAGCAAGUUAGAAGUGAAAUCCUAUAGCUCAACUAUAGUAAGCUUUUAAAACUGCUCAUCUUGAGGUAUGGAAGGGAAAGUGGAAUUCCUAGUGUAGCGGUGAAAUGCGCAGAUAAUAGGAGGAAUACCGGUGGCGAAGGCGACUUUCUGGCCAUAACCUGACGCUGAGGUACGAAAGCGUGGGUAGCAAACAGG